AAGUCUGGUGCCAGCAGCCGCGGUGACUUCAGCUCCAAUAGCGUAUAUUAACAUUGUUGCAUUUAAAAAGCUCGUAGUUGAAUUUAUUUUUAUAAAUUUUAUAUAAGUAGUAUUAUUUUAUAAUAAAAUUAUUUAAAUUUAUUUUUUAUAAUUUUAUUAUAUAUUAAACGGUAAUAUUAUUUAUAAUUUAUAAAAAAAUUUUAUGUUAUAUUAUUUAGUAAUAGAUAAUAUAAUACAAAUAUUACUGUGAAAAAAUUAGAGUGUUUAAAGCAUGUAUAUAAAAUUAAAAAAUAUAUUUUCUGAAUAUAUUUUUUUAGCUUGAAUAUAUUAGCAUGGAGUAAUAAUAUUAUAAUAUUUUUAUAUUAUUUUGUUGGUUAAAUAUAAAAAUAUAUGAUUAAUAGGGACAAUUGGGGGUAUUUAUAUUUCAUAGUCAGAGGUGAAAUUCUGGGAUUUAUGAAAGAUAAACAAAUGCGAAAGCAUUUACCGAAAAUGUUUUCAUUAAUCAAGAACGAAAGUUAGGGGAUCAAAGAGGCUUAGAUACCCUCGUAG
rnacentral:rRNA from 1 species